rnacentral:rRNA from 2 species
UACGAAGGUCCCAAGCGUUAUCCGGAUUUAUUGGGUUUAAAGGGUGCGUAGGCGGGUUAUUAAGUCAGUGGUGAAAGCUCCAUGCCUAACAUGGAAAUUGCCAUUGAUACUGAUGAUCUUGAGUACAUUUGAAGUGGGCGGAAUGUGUCAUGUAGUGGUGAAAUACUUAGAUAUGACACAGAACACCGAUUGCGUAGGCAGCUCACUAAACUGUAACUGACGCUGAGGCACGAAAGCGUGGGGAGCAAACAGG